AAUUUUUACUGUAUAUCAAUAUGUCAUCAAAAUAUACUACCACAAAUUUUCCCAGAAAUUCUUUUAAAACAUGGUUCAUUAACCUCAUAAAUGUGCUGGGUCCAUUAGUUAACCCAAAAGGCAUACUAACCACUCAUACAACCCAAAUUUAGUUUUAAAAGAAGUUUUCCAUUCAUCCCCUUCCCUAAUGCGAAUUUGAUGGUACCCACUUUUUAAAUAAAUUUUAGGGAAUAUACAAGCACCAUACAAUUCAUCAAGUAAAUCAUCUAAUCUAGGGAUAGGAUAAUGAUACUUUACCGUGAUAUUUUUAAUUGCCCUGCAGUCUGUACACAUUCUCCAGGACCCAUCCUUUUUGGGUGCAAGGAUGACAGGGACAGCACAAGGGCUCAUGCUUUCCUGAACCCAUCCCUUUUGCAUCAACUCCUCCACUUGUCGUUGGAUCUCUUGAGUAUCAUGAGGGUGGCUCCGAUAGGCAGGCCUAUUGGGCAAAGAUGCUCCGGGAAUGAGAUCAAUUUGAUGCUCAAUUCCCCUUAACGGUGGGAGUCCAGGUGGAACCUCUUGAGGAAAUAUAUCCUCAAAUUCCUGCAGGAAACUUUUUACAUAAUCAGGUACAACAAUAUCAGAGUUAGUACUUAAACAUAAAUGUUGACCAAUGAGUAGGUAAAGGGGUUGCCUAUAUGUUAAAGCACCCUUUACUUCCCCUUUGGAAGCCAUCAAACUUUUCUCCUUUUCAUUUUUUUCAUUUUUUCAUUUUUUUCAUUUUCAAUUUUUUUGUGUGGAACGUUUCUCUUUUUUUCUUUUUCUUCUUUUUUUUAUCGAUCCAUUUUUUCCUUUAAUUUUCUUUGAUCUUCACCAACUUGCCUUGGGGACAAGGGUGAGAAUACAAUUUUUUUAUUACAAUGUAUAAAUGUAUAUUUGUUAGAGAAACCAUCAUGGAUGGCUCUCCUAUCAUAUUGCCAAGGCCUGCCAAGCAGCAUAUGGCUGGCCUCCAUCACUACCACAUCACAUAGUAUGGAAUCCUAAUAUUUCCCUAUAGAGAAGAGAACCUCUGCCUAUUGGUUGACUAUCAUCUCUCCAACCUCACUUAACCAUUGUAGUUGGUAAGGGGUUGGGUGGUUCCUCGUCACAAGGUUGAGUUUAGAAACCAACCUAGUGCUCACCACAUUGGCACAGCUGCCUCCAUCAAUAAUUAGGGAACAUACAUUCCCUGCUACCAAACAUCUAGUAUGGAAGAUGUUUUCCCGUUGACUCUCCUCAUCCUCCCUAACUUGGCUCCCUAAGAGCCUUCGCACCAUGAGAAGAUCUCCUUCUGGAACAUCAGCAUCCUCUUCACUUUCUUCUGUACUUGAAGCCUCUGACUGAGACUCCACCACUCCAUUUUUNNNNNNNNNNNNNNNNNNNNNNNNNNNNNNNNNNNNNNNNNNNNNNNNNNNNNNNNNNNNNNNNNNNNNNNNNNNNNNNNNNNNNNNNNNNNNNNNNNNNUUCUAUUUUGUUGAACUCGCAUCUCCUCCAAUUGUUGUUGGAGUGCUCAGAAUUGUGUACUCAUUGCAUCAAUUGCUUGCAUAUAGGCCGUGAUCCUGGGGGACUCGGCCUCAUCUCUUGAAGGACUAGACAUUUCUCACUUCUCUCUUGACUCUUUUCUCUCAAUGUGUUUAGUGUGUAUCACUCCCUCACUUUCUCUCAAUUUCUCCUUCGGUUCUUGAUAAAAUCAAGUUAACCAGGAGUUGCUUUCAAUAUGACUAACUCACGGACUUAACAAACAGAAAGUAUUUGCCGGGCUAAGAUAUAUUUUGAGGCAAAUGUAAGGAUCGACUCUUUUUAUUUUUACUUUUUGGUUUCGGUUUUGGCAAGGUAGGAAUUUUUUUGUGUGUUUUUUUUUUGACUUGAUACAAGAAAUAAAAUUUUGACUUACACAAGACUAGCUCUGAAUACCACUUGAUGUGAAUCCAUUUGAGAGGAUUCGGAAUUUUGUUUUCAUCGUUCUUGAAUAUAAGUCUUUGAGAAGAAUACGGGAUUUUUUUCACCUUGAAACUUGUUAUAUUUUUGAUUGGUUUUUGUUUGGCCGUGGGAUAUGAUUAUGUGGUUUGGUUUUUUUAGGUUGUUUGUGGUGAGUGUUUGGCCGUGGGUUUUGGGAUGAAGGUUGGGUGAAUUUGUGGAUUGUAUAAGGAAAUUGUGUAUGGGUAUUUGUUGAUGGUUGUAUGUGAAGGGAUUGUUUUGGUCGUGUAUGGUUUAUNNNNNNNNNNNNNNNNNNNNNNNNNNNNNNNNNNNNNNNNNNNNNNNNNNNNNNNNNNNNNNNNNNNNNNNNNNNNNNNNNNNNNNNNNNNNNNNNNNNNCAAGCUAUGUGCAUAAAGAGUAGUAAAGUACAUUGAAUAUUCUCCUAACUCUUUCCCCCCAUGUGUUUUCGGUUUGGGAGGGAAUUUGAAUUGCAAGGUGUAUUGAUUGCUUCCCUUAUCAUAUUCCCAUGUGCUCUUUUUGGUUGAGAUGGAAAUUUGAAUUUGAAAAAUGAUUCUCCAUGGAGUAAAUGUCCAAAUUCGGUUGAGGAGUGAAUAAGAAAAAAGUAAUUUUGUCUUCAUGGCUUUCCUUUAUAGUGUGCCUUUUGUAAAAGGAGAAUAUCUCCUUGAUGAUCCAAGGUAAGAAUUGUUUUAAAUAAAAUUUGACUUACACAAGACUAGCUCUGAUACCACUUGAUGUGAAUCCAUUUGAGAGGAUUCGGAAACAAUCAAUUUGCCUUCUUUGGUUUCCUUGUGAUUUGCCUCGUGUGAGUAGAGGGAUUCUCUAUGAUGAUCACACCCAACACAUGUUUAAUUUGAAUAAGGAAGAUCUUGAUGAGGUCUUAUUCUGAUUUGAAUCUUUAAGGAAAGUUUUGCCUUGCUCCUUGAUUCUCAUUCACACGCCUCCUUGAUUAGGAAAUAGAUGUAAUUUGUUUGAUUGCUCUUGAUUGUUUCCAUAUAGGGAUCUCCCACACGUGCUCUUCAAAUUAGGAGAGGAUUCUUUGAGAUCUUAUGGCCUUUAAGGGUGAACUCACGGCUUGGCUCACUAAGGAAAGUGUUCCCUUGCUUGUACAUGGAUUACAUGGUUCUUAAUGAAAUUUAUUACAACUAUAAGUUCAAGUAUAAUGCAAAUAGUAAUUGUUCUUCCAAAUAAGGUAGGAAAAUAAUUCCUAGAGUACAUGUGGGUAUGAUAAUCCCCACUUAUUAAAUGGGACUCCCACAUGUCUCACGUGUUCCCUUCUUGGCCGUGGCCAACUUGGCUUACUUCUAUAAAAAUGGUGCAAUGUAUGGGCCGGAUUUCCUUGUUGGGCUUUGUUGACUUGAUCACUUCUUCCACUAAUAGGUUGAGAGUUUGGUGUGCUUUCUUGGUUCUGGACCGGGUCAUGGGCCCUCCUAGCCCACUUAGCUCUUCCUUAUUGAUGGGCCUUGGUGGAUUCAUAUCAGUUGGGUAGUUGUGGGUGUUUCUUGAACUUACUGAAGCUUCUAGUGUUGCAUGUUCUAUAGAGAAGGAUGCGGUGUUAGGUGAUGCCUUUAGUGGCACAACUAGAGCAUGAAGGGGCACAAGUCUAGUCACCCGGAACUAUGUUGUGGGCGGGUUGGCAUGGUUUUAGUCACGGUGCGACCGUUUAUGUCUGAUGUACCAAAGUGUCUCGUGUAGGCCUGUCCUACAGAAAAGUGUGUGGUGUGGAGGUGCUGGUUUUGUCACACGGUGUUGGUUGGGUAGUUGCGGGCUUCCGUCCGACUUGCCGAGGAUUCUAGUGUGUCCCAUCGUGCAUGAAAGGAUGUGGUGUUGGGUGAAGCCCUUAGAAGAAGAUCCACAACACGAAGGGGCACAAGUCCAAUCAUCCCGAAGUGUGUUAUCGGAGGGUUUGCACGAUUGAGGUCAAGGUGUGGUCGUGGAUGACUCAAGCAAAUAAUGCGACUUGUGUAGGCUCAUCCCUCAGGAAAGCAUGGUCCGUUGACAUGCUGGUUAGGUUGCACAAUGCUGAGUUGGUUAGUUGCGUUCGUCAUGUGGACAUUCAUAGGCCUUUAGCAUUACCCGUUCUACACGAAAGGAUGUCAUGUUGGGUGAAGCCUUAAAGGUCUGAGCCGCAACACGAUGGGGUACAAGUCCAAUCGUCCAUAAGUGUGUUGUGGUCACGUUUGCAUGUUUUGAAGUCUCGGUGGGGUCGUGUGUGACCAAAGCUAAACCGUGCAGUGUCUAGGCUCGUGCCUCACUAAACUUUGGGCUGAUGAUGAUCUGGAUCGGUGAUGGUGCAUCCAUUAAUUGCCCUCCCAUAUUCAGUGGAGAAGGAUAUGCAUAUUGAAAAGUUCGCAUGAAAAUAUUUAUAGAGGCCAUCGACUCGGAUAUUUGGGAAUCCAUAGUCAACGGCCCUUCAUUCCACAACAUUUAGUGGACGAUGAACCGAAAGAUAAACCCAAAAAUCUAUGGACCGAUGAUGAACGCAAAAAGGUUCUAUAUAACCUGUAUGCCAAAAAUAUCAUCACAUUAUCCAGAUCCUAUGAUGAGUUAUUUCAGGCUUCGCAGUGCCAAAGUGCUAAAGAAAUGAGGGACACUUUACAAGUGACUCACGAAGGCACUAGCGAAGUCAAGCGUGCCAGGCUGAAUGCCCUGACACAUGAAUAUGAGUUAUUUCGUAUGUUACAAAAUGAAUCUAUUGGUGAUAUGCAAAAACGUUUUACUCAUAUAGUUAACCAUUUAGUUUGUUUGGAUAAAUUGUUUAACAAAGGAGAGCUUACUAACAAAGUUUUAUGUUGUCUUGAUAGGAGAUGACAACCAAAAGUAACAGCUAUUAUGGAAUCAAAGGAUCUUGACUCCAUGUCUUUAGCGACAUUGUUCGUAAAACUUCAAGAGCAUGAAAUGGAGCUUGGACGCCUGUCUAUGCACGAAGAAUCAGAUCACAAAAAGAAAAGUAUAUCUCUCAAGGCUACAAUGUCUCAAUCCACAAAACAGAGAGAAGAAGAUGAAUCUGAUUCAGAUGUUGAUGAAGAAACUUUGAGCCUUCUCGUUCGCAAAUUCGGGAAAUUUCUAAAGAAAGGAGGCUUGAAACGUUUCCAUAAGAAAGAAGCACGGGAGUCGACCAGAAAAGGCAAUAGUAAAGAGCGCUUCACUUGCCAUGAAUGUGGUAAGCGAGGACAUAUGAGGUUCCAAUGUCCUAUUUAUCUCAAGAAGGUUGAUUCAGAUAAGAGCACUCCUCAGGACUUCAAAUAGAAGAAAGCUUACAUAGUGUAGGAUGUACCAGAGGAGGACACGACAUCCAACACCUUAGAUGAAGAGGAGACAUCAAAGAUAUGCUUAAUGACGAGAACAGAUGAUGCAUGUUGCUCAAAUACAAAAGAGGCAAAUAGGGAGGUAUAUUCUAACAUCUCAUCUUCUUCAUCUGAUGAUUCUCCUCCUUAUGAGGAAUUGUAUAAUGCGUAUGUCGAAUUGCAUGAUAAGUUAAAGAAAUUAGCUAGGAUUAGGUCUGAUAGGAAAAGAGUAAUCCUACUACAUGAACAAAAAAUAGUUUCAUUACAAAAAGAAUUAGAUGAACUAAAAUUAGAAAAUGAAACAAUAGAUUUGAUCUAUUCUUGUAAUGCAUGCAAUUGCUCUGACAAUAAUUUAUGUCAACUAACUGUUUGUGAUUCUUGUGAUGAUUUGAAAAAUGAAAAUUUGAGAUUACAUGAAAAACUCGCAAAACUCACAGAGAUUCAAAACAUGUUAGACACUAUGCUUAGUAAAACCAAUAAUGUUGGUGACCAUAUCGGGCUAGGAUAUAUCCCCCCUAUGCAUAGGAGAAGACCAUAUAGGAGACCUAUUAAUCGGCCCAAUAAGAAAUUUUUUAAUAAAAAGGUUCCUNNNNNNNNNNNNNNNNNNNNNNNNNNNNNNNNNNNNNNNNNNNNNNNNNNNNNNNNNNNNNNNNNNNNNNNNNNNNNNNNNNNNNNNNNNNNNNNNNNNNUUCCUACUCUUGUUAUAUUAGAAAAUAUGGUAUACCUAGCGGCGUGUAUGUAUGGAUGAAAAAGGGAGAUGACUCCCUAGUUACUAACAGAAAAGGACCAAACAUAACUUGGGUACCUGAAAAAGGCAAGUGAUCUAUGUUUUGAAGAUAUGUCUACGAGCACAUGGACAACAUUGGUAUCUUGAUAGUCGAUGCUCGAGACAUAUGACGGGAAAUAGAUCAAAAUUCCUAGAUCUAUCCUUGCAAGAAAAAGGGUUUGUCACGUAUGGAGACAACAACAAAAGGAAGAUACUUCGCACUAGAACGAUUGGCAACUCGAAUCAGGCAGUGAUCGAAAAUAUGUUAUAUGUUGAAGGCCUGGAACAUAACCUCUUGAGUAUCAGCCAACUAUGCAAUAAAGGUAACCGUGUAUCUUUUGAUUCUAAGUGUUGUAUUAUUCGUGACAAUAUAUCUAAUAAAGUUAAGUUUGUCGUAUAUCGUAUAAAUAAUAUCUAUAUGGUUAAUCUGGAGGAUGUCACUACUCUAUUUUAAAAAAAAUUAUAUCCAAAGAGGAUGACAUCUGGCUUUGGCAUAGGCAUCUCACUCAUAUUCAUGUAAAGCAUCUACAUAAAUUGUCUAAAAAUAAUCUGGUUGAUGGGCUACCAAAACUUGACUUUAAAACUCAGGAAACUUGUGAUACUUGUCAAAAAUAUAAACAAGUUAAAAUCUCUUUUUCUAAAACGAAUGUGAUAUCCACAACAAGACCUUUGGCGCUUCUCCUUAUGGACUUGUUUGGACCAUCACAGGUUAUGAGUUUUGGUGGUAGCUUUUAUGCUUUAGUAAUCAAUGACGAUUCCUCUAGAUUUACAUGGUCAUUAUUUCUAGCAUCCAAGAGCGAUGCUUUCAAGUCUUUCAAAAACCUUGCCAAGCAAAUCCAUAGCCAGUUUAAUCAUAAGAUACUAUAUAUUCAAUCCGGUCAUGGUGGCGAAUUUGAAAACCAUUUAUUUGAUAAAUUCUAUAAUAAAUAUGGUAUUAUGCAUCAAUUUUUGGCCCCUCGUACCCCUCAACAAAAUGGAGUUGUUGAGAGGAAGAAUCGAGUCUUAGAGGAGCUUGCUAAAACCAUGCUAAAUGAUGUAGUGCAUACAACUUGCUAUGUGAUUAAUCGUAUACUCUUGAGGCCUACUUUUUCAAAAACCCCAUAUGAACUCUUAAAAGGUCGUAGACCUAAUAUUUCUCAUUUUCAUGCUUUUGGGUGUAAAUGCUUUAUAUUAAAUAAUGGAAAAAGAGAUUUAAGUAAAUUUGAUUCAAAAGUUGACGAGGGUAUAUUUUUGGGGUAUUCAUUGCAUAGUAAAGUUUAUCGAAUCUUUAAUGAAUAAUCAAUGCAAGUAAAAGACUCCGUGCAUGUCCAUUUUGACGAAUCUUCUCCAAAAGAAAAGAGGAAGGAAUUUUAUGAUGAUGUUACAGGUUCUUUGGAAGAGGCAUACUCUAAGGACAUGGACCAGGACAAAGAAGCAGAAGCAGAGAAAACUAUACAAGAUGAGCAUUAGGACUUGCCAAUCGCGUGGAAGACCAAGAAGGAUCAUCCACUCGACAAAGUAAUAGGUAAUAUACCUAUGGGGUGGUAACAUGUAGCUCUUUACGUAACUUUUGUAACUUUGUAGCUUUUGUAUCUCAAAUCGAGCCUAAGACCAUCGAUGAGGCCAUUGAGGAUGUGCACUGGGUAUAGCUAUGCAAGAAGAGCUAAACCAAUUCGAGUCUAAUAAUGUAUGGAACAUGGUCCCAAAUCCUAAAGGACAUCCAGUGAUUGGUACUAGAUGGGUCUUUCGUAAUAAAUUGGAUGAAUUUGGCUUGAUAAUCCUAAAUAAAGCUUGCUUAGUGGCCAAAGGCUACAACCAGGAGGAGGACAUCGAUUAUGAUGAGACCAUUAUGAUGAGACCUACGCUCCUGUAGCCAGAUUAGAGGCCAUAAGGAUGCUUUUAUCAUUUGCAUCAAUUAUGACCUUCAAGCUCUUUCAAAUGGAUGUCAAGAGCGCCUUCUUGAAUGGCUACAUUCAAGAGGAGGUAUAUGUAGAUCAACCUCCCGACUUUAAAAUUUUUAAAUAUCUGAAGCAUGUAUAUAAGCUCAAAAAGGCCCUUUAUGGCCUGAAACAAGCUCUCAUAGCUUGGUAUCAUAGAUUGAGCUCUUUCCUCUUGGAAAAAGGGUUCGUGAGGGGUAUGGUUGAUACUAUCCUCUUUAUUCAUAGAUUAGAUAAUCAUAUUUUUCGUUCAAAAUUAUGUUGAUAAUAUAAUCUUAGGAUCUACUAAUUACAUUCUAUGUAAAGAAUUUCCUGAGUUGAUGCAGCGUGAAUUUGAGAUGUCAAUGAUGGGUGAGCUGACCUUCUUUCUUGGACUUUAAAUCAAACAAAUGGAAAGUGGCAUCUUCAUUCAUCAAUCGAAAUAUAUCAAAGAGUUACUGAAGAAGUUCGAUAUGGAAAAGUGUAAAGAGGCUUCAACACCUAUGGCAUCCGCAUGCUAUCUAGAUAAAGAUGAAAAGGGAAAAGCAAUCGAGGUAACCAAAUAUCGUGCGAUUAUCGGCACAUUAUUGUAUUUAACUGUGAGUCGCCCCGAUAUUAUGUUUAGUGUUUGUAUGUGUGCUAGAUUUCAAGCUUUGCCUAAAGAUUCACAUUAUACUGAUGUAAAACGAAUUAUGAGAUAUUUAAAAGGAACAACUAAUAUGGGAUUAUGGUAUCCUAGGGAUGCCUCAUUAUCCUUGGUAGGGUAUUCCGAUUCCGAUUUUGCAUGAUGUAAGUUGGAUCAGAAAAGCACUAAUGGGACUUGUCAUUUACUUGGUAGUUCCUUAGUUGCAUGGCACAGUAAAAAGCGAGCAUGUGUGGCUUUAUCCACCGUCGAAGUGAAAUACAUUGUCGCCGGUGUGUGUUGCACUCAUAUCCUUUGGAUGAAGCAGCAACUUAAGGACUUUGGACUUAACCUAGAAACGAUUCCUAUAAAAUGUGAUAAUACAAGUGCCAUAAACCAAUCUAAGAAUCCUGUUUUGCAUUCUGUUUUGCAUUCUAGAACCAAGCAUAUUGAAAUUAGACAUCAUUUCUUGCGUGACCAUGUACAAAAAGGCGAUUGUGUGCUUGAAUUUGUUGAAACAUCUAAGAAGUUGGCUAAUAUUUUCACCAAGCCUCUCUCACGAGAUACCUUAUAUGUUCUUCGAAGAGAACUUGGAAUUCUUGAUGAAAAUUAUCUUGAUUAAAAUCGUCUAAAACUGUUAUUAUAUGCUUCGCAUGAUUAAUGUGUUCUAUGCUUCAAAAUUUAUACUUGUUAUAAAUGCAUUAUAUUCCUAUUAUGACUCAUGAUCUUGUGUGACAAGCUGAAAAUGUAUAUGUGAUUGAUUAAAAAAUGCUCGAUAAAAGUUAGAAAUAUUUGCAUGCUUUUAAAACCCAAAAACCUCUUGAUUAUACAAAUAUGAUAUCAGUUAAUCGAUUAACUAUCCUUCUUAAUUGAUUAAAAUGAGUUCCAGUAGCAAACAUUUCAAUUUUCACUAAAUUUAAUCGAUUAAGAUUUAUUUUAAUCGAUUACAUGGGCUCAUUUUUUCUAAAAACCUGGAAUUUUUACACUACUUAUUCGAUUAAAUGCUGCACUUAAUCGAUUAAGGGAAACACAUAUAUUAGAAUCAUAUGCGUUUUUGUCACCUUUUUCAAACCCUCUCUUCCUCCUUUUUUCUGAAAAUAUCAAAUGCAAACAACAAAUUUGAAAUCUUAGCUUAAUAGAAGUAUUAAACCUCACCUUUACCCAUUUGUGCACCUCAUGUCAUCUAAUCCGUUUCUCUAUUUCCCAAGAAAUCACAUUCCCAAUUCCAAACCCUAAGCUCUAGGUUCCCUCCCUUAUCCUCCUUCUCCUCUCAUUACUCACACCUUUUAAUCUACAAUGGGAAGAGGACGUUCGAAGAGGUUCAAGACAACUACUCAACGCACUCGUAGGCCUCCUAAUGCUUCAUCUUCAAAUCCGAACGUGCGGCACGACCACGAAGAUACCUACUACUCACUCAUACUUCAGGUUACCUAGAUGGUGGAACAGAAUUUUGAAUUUCCACAAGGUAUGCAGGCUCAUGGUGUUGUAAUGUUUUUGGAAUUAACAGGUAAUUUGUACCUCACUUUGAUUAGGGAACUUUACGCUAACUUCCAUUAUAAGGAUGGUAGAUAUUGGUCUAUGAUUUCGGGAAAUCUUUUUGAGAUAGCUAUUAACCUUUUAUGAAUGUGGGAGGCUUAUCCACUACUGGUGUUAGCCUAGGUGAUUAUGAAUGGCUUGGUGAUUUCGAUGUUGCUGGGGUAUAUAAAUCAUGUCUGAGAGGUCACCAUCUGGAUUUCCAGGGAGAACUGACUAAAACUGGUUCUUUAUCGGUAGAGAAUAUAUUGCUUCACUAUUUGAUUGCAUACAUCUUGAUUCAGAGGAACACUAAUCAUGCACAACCUACUGCUAAUGAUCUGAAAUUUAUGUAUAUUGUGAAGGAGAAUAUAAUGGUUAAUUGUCCUGAAGGAAUUCUGAAGGUCAUGUAUAAUGUCUCUUCAUCGCAAUCCAAAUUGCUGCCCUACAAUAUCUUCAUAUCGAGAAUAAUUGACUAUAUGCAUAUUGAUGUAUCUGACACCAUCGUCAUAGAGACUUCUGACAAAGAUUACCUUGUUGGUGAAAGCCUUAUCCACAAGAUGGGUGUCUACAAGUAUGGAAGUACUUGGCAAUACCAGGAAGAUUUCAUUAUAGUGGAUUUGGAGCUACCUGAUGAUGAGGAUCAGGUUGGUACAGAUCAGCCUAAUGAGAGACUCAAGGGGAGCCAUCUGGAAACGCACUACAGCAACCAUCCUUUGGAUUAGCUGAGUUGGUUGCCAUGGAGCAAAGGCUGAACAACAUGAUAGAUUUACACUUUCAGUUUUUGAAGGACUCCUACCAUACUAAUUUGGAACCAUUUGACGAGCGUCAGGUUUCUUACAUCGAUAACCACUAUCAGACUACGAGGAGCUUUAUCCAGAUCACUGUUGAGGCACAGAAUGCGAGGUUUUGUGCAAAGUUUGAGAAGCUGAGAUUCCUCAUCCAGGGUGAUAGUAGUUUGGUCGUACGUGAUGAUAGAGAUCCUCCUCCACAUCCCUAGAUUAGAAGGCCUUAGAUCUUAUAUUGCCCUAGAUUUAAUCCUUCUAUAUGGCUAAUUUUUAGGAUUUAUGCUGCUUUGUAAUUUCGAGACAUAUUUUCUCUUUGCUUUCUGAAAAGAUGCCAGUUAACAUGUAUAGUUGAUAAACAUAACAUAUAGGUAGUUUACCAAUUAACAUCUUAACUGAAAAUAUGCUAGUUAAUCGAUUAAGUAAAGCUUUAAUCGAUUAACGUGAAAACAAUUUUUAACAAUUUGAACAGAUAACUGAAAAGCGUUUUCAGUUAGUCUCUAACAGCCCGUUAAUCGAUUAAUAGGCAACAUAAUCGAUUAACUGGGUGAAAAACAACUUUUCUAUGUAAACUGUAUUUUCACCAGAUUUCACAUACGAUUUAAUACAUUCAUACAUUCAUAUUAGAAUUACUAAGUUGCAUAUUUUCAUGUUCAAUGUAUGUUAUAUAGGCAGAGAGAAUGGCAUGUGAGAUUAUAAUAAGAUAGUAUUAUGCUUAGGGAUUAACAUGUAAUUCACUACAUAUUAUCAAAUGUGUUCAUCAUCCUAUCUUGUUCUUGCAUGAUUCUUUCACUACUGUUUAGAGAUUUCUUAAGGGUAGAAAUUACAUGUUCUUUAUGAUUUUGAUCUUAUACAUAUUCAUAGUAAUUGUGAGAUUUGUAUAGGGUUUAUAGCUUGUUCUUUCUUAUAAUAUUUGAGCUAUUUUAGUGCUUCACAUUACUCUGUUUUUUGUGUUUUUGUGUAACAAGGAAAGUCGUCUCUUAGUGUCGUACCACCAAAGAGAUCAGAGAGUCUUCACUAAGACUUGGAGGUCUUGUGUUUACAGCAUACUCUUGGCUGGGGCUGGAUCGUAGGAAAGGUUUUCCUAGGCGAUUGGGUAAGGUCAAACCAAGGUAGAGGUUCUGGGAACUCAAGAAGGGAGCGUUCAAGGUCUUGUAAUUGGAAGUGUGUAUGUAAGACACAUUGGUUUCAAUUUUAGUGAAGAAAAUCUCCCGGGUCAGAGGGGAGGACUAGAUGUAGUUUUGCAGUGGACCACAAAACGAACCAGUAUAAAAACCUUGUUGCAUGCUAUUUCUUUCCCUUAUCUCUUUACUAUUUUUAGUAGCUUUUAAUUGCCUAUUGUAGCUGAUAUUUUGGAUAUAGUAUUACUGCCAAAUAAAGAUCUUUUGUGUUCAAAUAUAUCUGCUAUAUCAUUAAUGUAUAAUCUAUAAUUGGUUGUGUAAUUGAGGCAGUCAGCAACUGCUAAUUCUAUGCGACUUAAUCGAUUAAGUCAUAGCUGUAAUCGAUUAACUAGAUAAUUUUCCAAAAUAGGGCUUUGGUGCAAAUAGCGGUGAGUAGAAACUGUGACACCUAUUCAACCCCCCCUUCUAAGUAUAUUCUGUCACUGAUACCUAACAAACCGGUCGCCCUCGGUGUCCGAAUUGUAGUGUGGAGAAGCAUCCUCAAAGGCGGAUCGGGCCCAAGUCCCCUGGAAGGGGGCACUGGAGAGGGUGAGAGCCUCAUCAUGCCCGAAACCUGAAGCACCACGAGGCAUUGUUGGCGAUUCGAGUUGUUUGGGAAUGCAGCCCCAAUCGGGCGGUAAAUUCCGUCCAAGGCUAAAUACUAGCGAGAGACCGAUAGUGAUCAAGUAUCACGAGGGAAAGAUGAAAAGGACUUUGAAAAAAGAGUCAAAGAGUGCUUCAAAUUGACGGGAGGGAAGCAGAUGGGGGUCGACAAUGUGCGUCGGUCAGAUAUGGAAUGGCGAGAGCCGAUCUGCCAAUCGACUCAGGGCAUGGAGCGACGUGAAUUGUGAUGGUGGCCCAAGCCCGGGUUGUUGACAUGCUCUUGGAGACGUCAUCAUCGCUAUUAUGGUUGGAAGAUCGCGUUGUUUGGUGUGCUUUGGCACCUGUGUGCUCCGGGCGUCGGCCUGUGGGCUCCUCAUUCGGCCCGUCUUAAAACACGGACCAAGGAGUCUGACAUGUGUGUGAGUCAAAUGGCAAGUAAACUCGUAAGGCGCAAGGAAGCUGAAUGGUAGGAUCCCCUUUUGGUAAGGAUAAUUGGCGAUGCGGGAUGAAUCGGAAGCUGGGUUACGGUGCCCAACUGCGCGCUAACCUAGACCCCACAAAGGGUUAUGGUUGAUUAAGACAGCAGGACGGUGGUCAUGGAAGUCAAAAUCUGCUAAGGAGUGUGUAACAACUCAACUGCCGAAUAAACUAGCCCCAAAAAUGGAUAGCACUAAAGUGCACGACUUAUACCCGGCCGUUGGGGCAAGGACUAGGAACCGAUGAGUAGGAGGGCACGCCGGUUGCUGCAAAACCUGGGGCGUGAGCCUGGGUGGAGAGAUCGUCGAUGCAGAUCUUGGUGGUAGUAGCAAAUAUUCAAAUGAGAACUUUGAAGGCCGAAGAGGGGAAAGGUUCUAUGUGAACGACACUUGCAUAUGGGUUAGUCGAUCCUAAGGGACGGGGGAAGCCUAUCUAAUAGCGCUCUAAGUGUGCAGUCCGAAACGGAAUCAGGUUAAAAUUCCUGAAACGGGACGUGGCAGCUGACGACAACGUUAGGGAGUCCGAAGACGUUGGUAGAGGCCGCGGAAAGAGUUAUCUUUUCUAUUUAAUAGACUGCCCACCUUGGAAACGGCUCAGCCGGAGGUAGGGUCCAGUGGCUGGAAGAGCACCGCACGUCGCGUGGUGUCCAGUGCGCCCCCGAUGGCCCUUGAAAAUCCAGAGGACCGAGUGCCCUCCCACACCCGGUCGUAUUCAUAACCGCAUCAGGUCUCCAAGGUGAACAACCUGUGGUCGAUGGAACAAUGUAGGAAAGGGAAGUCGGUAAAAUGGAUCUGUAACCUCGGGAAAAAUAUUGGCACUAAGGGUUGGGCAUGGGGGUCCCAGUCCCGAACCCAUCGGUUGUCGGUGGACUACUCGAGCUGCUCUCACAGCGAGAGCGGGUCGCCACGUGCCGGUCGGGGGACGGAUUAGGAACGGGCCCUUCAGGGCCUCUUCCCCGGGCGUCGAACAGUCGACUCAAAACUAGUACGGACAAGGGGAAUUCGACUAUUUAAUUAAAACAAAGCAUUGCGAUGGUCCCUACGGAUGUUGCCGCAAUGUGAUUUCUUCCUAGUGCUCUGAAUGGGAAAGUGAAGAUAUUCAGCCAAGCGCGGGUAAACGACGGGAGUAACUAUGACUCUCUUAAGGUAGCCAAAUGCCUCGACAUCUAAUUAGUGACGUGCAUAAAUGGAUUAACGAGAUUCCCAUUGUGCCUGUGUACUAUCCAACAAAACCACAGCCAAGGGAACAGGCGUGGCAGAAUCUGCGGGGAAAAAAGACCCUGUUGAGCUUGAAUCUAGUCUGACAUUGUGAAAUGACUUGAGAGGUGUAGGAUGAGUCGGAGCUGGAAACAACAGAAGUGAAAUACCACUACUUUUAACGUUAUUUUACUUAUUCCUUGAAUUGGAGGCGGGGUGUAGCCCCUGUUUUUGGACCCAAGGUCGGCCUUGGUGGUCGAUCUGGGCGGAAGACAUUGUCAAGUGGGGAGUAUGGCUAGUGCAGCACAUCUGUUAAAAGAUAACGCAAGUGUCCUAAGAUGAGCUCGACGAGAACAUAAAUCUCAUGUGGAACAAAAGGGUAAAAGCCGAUUUGAUUCUGAUUUCUAGUACGAAUACGAACUGUGAAAGCAUGGCCUAUCGAUCCUUUAGUCCUUCAGAAUUUGAAGCUAGAGGUGUCAGAAAAGUUACCACAUGGAUAACUGGCUUGUGAUAGCCAAGCGUUCAUAGCAAUGUUUUUUUUAUCCUUCGAUGUCGGCUCUUCCUACCAUUGUGAAGCAGAAUUUACCAAGUGUUGGAUUGUUCACCCAAAAAUAGGGAACAUGAGCUGGGUUUAGACCAUCGUGAGACAGAUUAGUUUUACCCUACUGAUGACAGUGUCACAAUAGUAAUUCAAUCUAGUAAGAGAGGAACCAUUAAUUCGCACAAUUGGUCAUUGCGCUUGGUUGAAAAGCUAGUGGUGCGAAGCUACGGUGCGUUCGAUUAUGUCUGAAUGCCUGUAAGUCAGAAUCCGGGCUAGAAGCGAUGCUUGUGCUCGUCACUCAUUUGUCGACCUGCAGUAGGGGGCCUCGGCCGCAUAGAGUCCCGUGUCAUUGGUGACCCUCGCAGGGUAGACGAACCUCGUGGGAUGCCUUGAAGCGCUAUUCCACACUGGGCAGCAGGUAGAAUCCUUUGCAUAUGAAUUAAAUACGCGACGGGGUGUUUUAAGUGGCAGAGUGGCCUUGCUGCCAUGAUCCACUUAGAUUCAAUCCUUGUCGCUUCGAUUCGUCCCUCCCACCUCAAACCUUUUUCCGAGCUAGGUCGUACACCCUAUGAGGGUUACGAACCCGCACCUCCUAUGGGCGACGAGGCGAGUAAGUGCAAAGUCUGCGUUCCGCAAGCAUAUGGUAGAGACAAAGUCACUUACAAUGUGGAGUGCGGAAUCGCCUCUGGCCAUGCCCUAUGGUGCCUUGUGUGUGGUUCAUGGUGUCCGGUGGUUGGGGUGCUUUGUGCAUGGUGUGGUUCCUCGUGCAUGAUCCCGAGUGCAAGGUGAAAGAGAGGCCAUGGCACAUGUGUCCAUGUGCUACAAGGUGAAAUUGAGGCCAUUACACACUUUCUGAGUUCUAGGUGAAAGUGACCCAUUCUGUGGCACACGUUCCGAGUGUUAGGUGAAAGUGACCCAUGCCAUGGCACAUGGUUCGAGUGCUUGGUGAAAGUGACUCGUGCCUCGUGUGAGAUUCUUGCUUCUCUCGCAUUCCCUAUUUCGGUGAAAGCAUCGUAAGAUGCUGGAACCUUCAUGAAAUGCCUCCAUAUUUGGAGGGGAACCCGUAAUUUUUUAGCCAUGGUUGCCACCAAAGUUUCACGUAAGAAUUCAACCUCUAGGCGAUGUUUCCCGUCAUGGCACCAUCGCGUGUCCUGCACUUCGGUGGAAAAUCAUUUGAGGUAAAUCCCUCGAUGUUACAUGGGCAUAACUUUGGGAAAUGUUUAGGAAUAAUGCUCCUAGCAUUCCUGCAAAAGAACAGCUCAAAAAACAUGGUGCACACUCGUUAUCUAAUUUUCGGGAAUUACGUAAAGCUCGUCGCUUAGAAAAAUUAUGAAACAUUAUUGGCUUGGAGAAAAAUCAUGACAUGGCCCACUAGUUUCCAUUCUUAUAAGCACGUGUGCAAAAAUUCAGGGCCAACUUCAACCUCUAGCCUAAAAAAAACCAAUAUGUCUUCCCAGAAAAAAGGAUGCCCGGUGGUGCAAAGUGGGCUUUUGCUUGUGUGGGCUCGUCCCUCAGGAAAGUGUGGUCCGUUGACGUACUGGUUUGGUCACACAAUGCCGAUUUCAUUAGUUGUGUCCUUGAUGCGGGCAUUCCGAGGCCUCUAAUGUGACCCGUUCUGCACGGAAGGAUGUCGUGUUGGGUGAAGCCUUAAGGGGCACAACCACAGCACGAAUGGGCACAAGUCCAAUCGUCCAGAAGUGUGUUGUGGUCGGGUUUGCAUGUUUUGAAGUCUCGGUGGGAUCGUGUGUGACCCAAGCUAAAACGUGCGAUCUCUAGGCUCGUGCCUCGCUAAACUAUGGUCUGGUGAUGAUCUGGAUCGGUCACACAAUGGCGAGGUAUGUACAUGUGGGCAUCCUGUGGACAUGCCCAGGCUUGUCAUGUGACCUAUUAUGCACUGAAGAAUUAGGUGAUGCCUUCUUGGAAGUACUUGAGUGGCCCACCACUGAGAAGUAGUAGGCGGCUUUGCCCCACAAUGUCUCGUUCGGUUAGUGAUCUUCCCUGGUUGGGAGAUUUAUGCGGGAUGCCUUGCAGCACUAUUCUCUACUUGGCACUCCAAGAGUCUUUUCAGUGACUUAAAUAGCAUGGCACUUCGGAACAGGCAGAGUGGACUUGCUGUUACGAUCCACUCUGAUUUUUCUCCUGUCGCCUUGUUUUUUUCCACCAGCCUCCAACUUUUUAAGUUCUAUAUCAUAUACCCAAUGAGUGUUGCGGAGCAGCAACUUGUGUGUGCGAUUAGUCGAAUUGGUGCAACAAAAAUCCACGAUGGACACAUAGACCUCUGCUAUACACCCUUUCCGAGUGGUAGGUGAAAGUGAUGGCACAUGUUCCGAGUGGUAGGUGAAAGACGCCAACCCCUUCAUGAAAUUCCUCCAUAUUUUGACGGGAACCCAGAAUUGUUUUGCCAUGGUUGCCUGCAAAGUCUCAAGUCGGAAUUCCACUCCUAGGUGAUGUUGCCCGUCAUGGCACCAUAGCAUGUGCUGCACUUUGGUAGAAAAUCAUUUCAGGUAAAUGCCUCAAUGUUACAUGGGCGUAAAUUUGGGAAAUGUUUAGAAAUAAUAUUCCACAAAACAUGGUACACACUAAUUUUCUAAUUUUUGGGAAUUAUGUAAUGCUCGCCGCUUAGAAAAAUUACAAAAAAUUAUCGGCUUGGAGAAAAAUUAUGAAACUUCGUGGAACACUAGAUCUUAUUCUUAUAAGAACGUGUGGAAAACAUCAGGCCAAAAUUCGACCUCUAGCCUAAAAAAAGCAAGUAUGUCUUCCUAGAGAAAAUGAUCUCUGGUGGUACAGAGUGGGUUUUUGCAUAUUAGCCUACUAUAGGGGGGCAGCUGCCUGCUUGCCCAUGCACCUUGAUGGGUCAGGAUGGCUUGCCAUGCCCCCCCCCCAACGCCCCAGCAAGAUUCCCCAAGCAUGCUGGUGCUUAGUCCAUGGCGAUGUGGGCAAUUCGACCGAGUCAUCUUCCAUGCCGAAUCUCGGUCGUACGUGGCCACGUGUAGGCUGGUCGUUCUGAAAAAUGUGUGCAUCGUAUUGAACAUAUCUGGCACCUAUGACUCGUUUGCGAUGCAUCAAGGGCUUGACAUUUUCCUCACGGUCCGACUCGAAAUUCUUGAUGCGUUCGUCCUACUUGUUGAGGUUCCGGUUUGGUGACUCGGUGACGGGUUGGGUAGUUGCGGGUGGCGGGCGUGCCGAGGCUUCUAGCGUGAUCGUUUCUGCAUGGAAGGAUGUGGUGUUAGGUGAAGCCUUCAGGGGCAUAGCCACAACACGAAGGGGCACAAGUCCAAUCAUCUGGAAGUGUGUUGCGGGCUGGUUUGCACGAUUGAAGUCAAGGUAUAGUCGUUUGCGAUUGUAGCAACAACGUGCCUCAGGUAGGCUUGUCCCUCAGAAAUGUGUUGGUUGUUGAGGUGUGGGAUUGGUCCCGCAGUGCGGAGUUGGUAGUUACGGUAUCCCACAGACGUUCCGAGGCUUCUAGUGUGACCAGUCCUACACGGAAGGAUGUGGUGUUGGGUGAAGCCCUUAUGGGGCAUAGCUACAGCACGAAGGGGUGCAAGCCCAAUCAUUUGGAAGUAGUGUGUUUGUGGCUUGUUUUCAUGGUUGAAGUCAACAUGCGGUGGUGUAAGACGCACGCAACAAUGCUACACGGUGUAGGCUUGUCCAAAAGAAAUAGAUGCGCACCUUGGGAAAUAUGUGCGUACCUAGGCGUAUUUGUUUCCUGUGAGGCCCUUUUCGCCAUGAAAGGACGUGGUGUUAAGUGAUGCCCUAAGGGAAGAUCUUUGAUCCUGACCUUGGCACGGUUUUGAUGAAGACACCAACAUCACCAAAAAGAAGAAAAGGAAGAAUACUUAUGAAGACAAAGAAGAUUAAAGCUUCAAGAAGAUUAGAAUAAGUCUCUAUAGGUACUUCUAUCCUAAAACUCUUACUUAUGCAAAGUAGUAAUACUCAAAAACUAUUUUUAAAGAAUAAUGAAACACUUUGAAAAUACUUAAAACAAUAUGUGAAAAGAUGUGUAACGCGUUACUUAAUUCAAGUAACAAGUUACAUGUGAGAGAAAAAGAGUUAUCCAACUUAAAACUGCUCAGAGUAAUCCAUUACUACAUUUGAGUAACAGAUUACCAAUUUUACAAAAUUUGAGUAACCGAUUACCCAAAUGGUGUAAUCGAUUACUCAAAUUCGAAUGUAUAAAUUCAGUGGACAGAAUGUUUGGGUAAUCGAAUACCCAAUGUAAGUAAUCGAUUACUAAGGACUGUUGAAAGAGAUUUCAGAUUUCAAAACGAAAAGUUUUCACUCCAAACAAAAUAUCUUCACUCCCAACAACUCCUACACUUUCAUAAAGUCACCUUGGAUGUUUGGAAAGCCUAUAUAAAGACUCUAAACUCUCACAACAUUAACACACAACUUUCAUACAACUCUCAUAAANNNNNNNNNNNNNNNNNNNNNNNNNNNNNNNNNNNNNNNNNNNNNNNNNNNNNNNNNNNNNNNNNNNNNNNNNNNNNNNNNNNNNNNNNNNNNNNNNNNNGUAUAAAAUACUUGUGUACUCUCCUUUCCCUUUCCUCUUUACUUUAUACUUGUUUAUUUUUCUGCAAUAUUAUCCGCUGCACAUUAACUCUUACAUUUUGCAGAAAAAGUUAUAAUAAUUUUAAGUCAACUAAUUCACCCUCCUCUUAGUUGUAAUCUUGUUCUUACAAUUGGCACCAGAGCUAUAUUUGAGUAAGAUACUCUCAAAUUCGAUCCUACAUCAAGAUGGCCUCAAGAUUCCAACAUCAACCGCCCUCCAAGCUUUGUUGGAGAAUGCUAUGAUUUCUAGAAAAUCAGAAUGAGGAUCUUCAUUGAGUCUCAAGACUUAGAUAUAUGGAAUGCAAUUGAAGAAGGACCAUACAUACCCUUCACUGUUAUCAACAUUAUAAGGGAAAUAAAGCCAAAAUCUUUAUGGAAUGAUGAAGACAAGAAGAAAGUGCAAUACGACCUUAAAGCCAAAAACAUUCUUGUGUCGGCUCCAAAAGAAAAAGAAUUUCUUAGAGUGUCAAGUUGCAAAACACCGAAAGAAAUUUGGGACACUCUAGAAAGGAUACAUGGAGCCAAAGAAAUACAAAGGUCUGCAACAAAAAGUGAAGCAUCAACAUCAAAUCAAAAAUCUACAUGCUCAAUAUGCAGAAAACCAGAUCAUCUAAAAUGUGCUUGUCCAGCCCUACAAAAGCAUCAUACUUUCAAAAGAAAGAAGGACAAGAAGCGUAGAAGAACAAAUGUUAUAUCAGAAGAUAAAGAUGAUGGUUCAAAUGCAGAAGUCAGAAUUAAGGAGCAAUCACAUAUUUCAUUGAUGGCUUCACACAAUUCAAAUGACGAAUAUGAGGUUAGUAACUUUGAACCAAAUUAUAUUUUUUCAUAUGAUGAGUUAGUUUAACGAUUUCCAUCAAGAAUAUGUUAAGCUUUCCAAAAUUUUCUUGAAACAGAAAAAUGAAAUUUUUAUUUUGGAAAGUCGUAACAAAGUUCUAAAGAAAGAUAUUGAAAACCCCACUUCUUCCUCAUGUCAAAAAUGUGUUGCUCUUGAAACUAAAAUUUCCACAUUAAGUCUUGAACUUAAUAAACUCAACAAGAGCAGUCACAAUUUAGACAAGAUCAUAAAAUUCCAAAGACAUUCAACAGACCAUAGAGGUCUUGGCUAUGCAAAUAGUCGUGUGGCUAAAAAUGAGAAUGUCUUAGGAAAAACAAUCGUGGGAAGCACUAUAAAGUUUUAUAAAGAUAGUGUCCAUAUUAAUCCUACUUUUAAAAUAAAAUAUUGGACACUUAAACAUCUACCCACUUGUUCUUACUGUGAUAAAAUUGGUCACACACCUAACACAUGUCAUAUUAGAAAAUAUGGUGUGUCAUCUGGCCAAUACAAAUGGAGAGAAAAAGGUGCUAACCCCACAGAACCCAAAUCACAUUGGGUACCUAUAAAAUCCUUUUGAACUUGUUUUGUAGGAAAAUUUGAGAGCCGCCUGUAAUUUAUGGUACUUGGAUAACGGCUGCUCAAAACACAUGAUGGGCGGUAAAAGUAAUUUCUCUGUCCUUAGUCCAAGGGACAAAGGAUAUGUCACAUAUGGUGACAACAACAAGGGAAGAAUUCUUGGAGUUGGUAGAACUGGAAAGCCACCAUCAACAACUAUAGAAGGUGUACUAUAUGUUGAAGGACUUAAACAUAACCAUCUAAGCAUAAGUCAAUUAUGCGACAAAGGAUUUCAUGUGGNNNNNNNNNNNNNNNNNNNNNNNNNNNNNNNNNNNNNNNNNNNNNNNNNNNNNNNNNNNNNNNNNNNNNNNNNNNNNNNNNNNNNNNNNNNNNNNNNNNNAUUGACAUGAAUUCUGCUUUACCUAUAACAUGUUUAGUAGCAAAUGAUAAUCAUGAUGCAUGGCUUUGGCAUAGAAGAAUAGCUCACAUCCACAUGGAACAUUUAAAUAAACUUAUUAAGAAAGAUUUAAUUGUCGGUUUACCCAAAAUGAAGUUUGUUAAAGACAAACUAUGUAGUGCUUGUCAAAUGGGUAAACAAACAAAAACUUCUUUCAAACCAAAGCACAUGGUUUCUUCUGAUAGACCAUUACAACUACUUCAUAUGGAUUUAUUUGGUCCCUCAAGGACAAAACGUUUAGGUGGAAAUUACUAUGCUCUUGUUAUAGUAGACGAUUUUUCUAGAUAUACCUGGACUCUCUUCUUAGUACAUAAGAAUGAGGCAUUCAAAGCCUUUAGCAUUUAUGCUAAAAGAGUUCAAAAUGAAAAAUCUCUAAAAAUUGCUGCUAUACGAAGUGAUAAUAGGGGCGGGGAUUUCAAAAAUCCUCUUUUGAGGAAUUCUGUAAUGAUCUUGUGAUCAACCACAAUUUUUCUGCUCCUAGAACACCUCAACAAAAUGGUGUUGUAGAGAGAAAGAAUCGGUCCUUAGAAGAACUGGCUCGAACAAUGUUAAAUGAAACUAACCUCCCAAAAUACUUUUGGGCUGAUGCAGUUAGCACUGCUUGUUAUGUUUCGAAUCGAGUUCUUAUAAGACCUAUUCUUAAGAAAACCCCCUAUGAACUCUUCAAAGGUAGAAAACCUAACAUUUCUCAUCUACACGGUUUUGGUUGUAAAUAUUUUGUUCUGAACAAUGGUAAGGAUAAUUUGGGCAAGUUUGAUGCUAAAGCUGAUGAAGGGAUUUUCCUUGGCUAUUCUCUCACGAGUAAAGCAUAUAGAGUCUUUAAUAAAAGAAGUCUACCUAGCCAUGGAAGAAUCUGUUCAUGCAACUUUUUAUGAAAACAAUCAUGUUUUAAAAGAUGUAAUAUCCUGUGAUGAAGACGACUUGCCAAGUUCCUCCACCAAAGAAAACUCUAUUGUUGAUGUUAAAACUGAACCUGAAGAAUUGAGAGAAGAUGAUGAUCUACUUUCUCAAGAAGAACACAGUCACUCAGAUCUACCAAAAGAAUGGAGAACUCAUCGAAAUCAUCCUAUCGACAACAUCAUCAGUGACAUAAGUAAAGGUAUAACCACUCGUAGAAUGCUUGAUGCUUGUCUAAACAUGGCCUUCGUCUCUCAGAUAGAACCCUCCAAGAUUGAUGAUGCAAUCGAGGAUGAACACUGGAUUCUUGCCAUGCAAGAAGAAUUAAACCAGUUUGAGAGAAACGAAGUGGGAACUUGUUNNNNNNNNNNNNNNNNNNNNNNNNNNNNNNNNNNNNNNNNNNNNNNNNNNNNNNNNNNNNNNNNNNNNNNNNNNNNNNNNNNNNNNNNNNNNNNNNNNNNUCUUGGACUUCAAAUCAAACAGCUUGAUAAUGGCAUCUUUGUGAGUCAAACCAAGUACUGCAAGGAUUUACUAAAAAGAUUCGAUAUGGAUGAUUGCAAGCCAAUAACUACUCAUAUGGGAUCUAGCACAUACAUUGAUACCGAUGAAAGUGGAAAAAGUAUUGAAAUUUCAAAGUAUCGAGGUAUGAUCGGAUCUCUUCUAUAUUUAACUCCCAGUAGACCUGAUAUUAUGUUUAGUGUAUGUUUGUGUGCACGCUAUCAGUCUAAACCAAAAGAAUCACAUUUAGUUGUUGUUAAGAGAAUUAUGAAAUAUCUAAAAGGUACAACUGAAGUUGGAUUAUGGUNNNNNNNNNNNNNNNNNNNNNNNNNNNNNNNNNNNNNNNNNNNNNNNNNNNNNNNNNNNNNNNNNNNNNNNNNNNNNNNNNNNNNNNNNNNNNNNNNNNNAAAGAUGUAUCCGUAGAAUUUGUUGAUACUCAUAACCAACUUGCAGACAUUUUCACUAAGCCCUUGGUAAAAGAACUUUUUUUACAAAAUUAGACUUGAAUUAGGCAUUCUUGAUGAAGCUUACCUGUCUUAACAUGCUUAUAUGAUUAUAUGUUUGCUUCAUUAAUAUUAUCUCAUGCCUACUUGAUCUUCAAUAUGUUUAUUUGUGUUAAAAAACUUAAUUUUUUUGGGUUAAAAUCAUUUUCAUAGCUUAAUUUUGCCUAAAAAUAAGCUUUUCUAGGGUACGUAAUCGAUUACAUUGGAGAGUAACCGAUUACAGGAUGAAAUAUCGUGUUUUAGUAACCGAUUACCCAAAGUGAGUAAUCGAUUACUCAAAGCUGCUGUUUGAAAUUUUUAAUUUUUUUUUGAGUAAUCGAUUACUCAAAGAGGGUAAUCGAUUACUCUGUGCUGUUAUAUAUGAAAUUUCUGCAAAUUUUAACUUUUUCAAAAACCCAUCUUCCUCACUCAACUCGUGUUCUCCUCUUCUCAAAGCCUCUCAACCUCUAAAAACCUUAUUUUUGAUCCAUUUUGGGUGAUCUUUGUGUCCAUUCAUAUCACAUUCUUGAUUCUAAACACUUCUAACCAACCAUUUUCGUGAUUAGUGGCUCAAAUUAAAAAACCCCAAAUUCCCAAAAACCAAAAAACCAUAAAUUUCAAAAUCCAAAAUUCAUGGCUUCAUCUUCUAAAUCAAAGAAACUACGCUCAAAUACUACUCAAAGGAUUCAAGGAACAACAUCUUUGGAAUGCAAACCUCUGGACUUAACAAGGCUUCUUGCUAACGAUGAGCAACGCAAGAUAUUUGAGGAACACUUCCAUGGUCGCGACAUUUUACUCCUAAAUAUGGUAAUGUUGAUAAUUUUGAGUUUGAAGAUUUUUUGUUCCCUUAUCUCUUACGUCAACAAAAACGAUCUCUUACGUCAACAAAACCUUUUUGACUUUUGUUCUGAAACAAACGACAUUUAUCCCGAACUUGUGAGAGUAUUUUAUUGUAACAUGAACUUUCGGAAAAAUCGUCUUACAUCCUAUGUUAAAGGAAAAGACAUUGUGUUAGACCUAAAAACUUUCAGUUCAUUGUUAUGUAACAUACCCUAUCAAGGUAACAUAACAAGUUUCGGCCUUGUAUGUGAAUGGGAUAAAUAUGAUCGAAAGGAUUUUUAUAACUCCUUAUGUCGACUUUCGAAAAGGGAAAUAGAAAUGCGUAAGCAACAAGGCUUUGGAGAGACUGUCAAACACCGAGACAUCCUAUCUCUGUAUAUUUCAAACUAGAGGAAUGUUUGAUUCAUUAUUUCUUGAGUUAUGUCAUUAUACCUAAAUUUUGAAAUCAUUCUCAAAUAAGUGACAUAGAACUCCAAUUGAUGUAUGCCAUAAAGUUUAAUAUCAAAAUCAAUUGGACUCUCAUGAUAAUGAGACAAAUGUGGACCGUUAGAGGUACUCAAAGACCUCAGAACCCGCACUUAUACUCAUAGAACCGACAAGCCGACCACUGAUGCUGAACCAUCUGAACCUGAAGCUCCUAAUCCUUUUGAACCACAACCAUAUGAGUUUCAUGCUCAAUCAUCCUCAUCUACUGCCAUGCCCUCGAACCAAAUGAUUAUGGAUGAGUUGGUUUCUCUCCGAGGCUACAUCACCAAUCGGAUGGAUGCUCUCGAUUCUCAGAAUCAAAAAAUCCAAUAUGAACUUCAUUGCCUCUCCUCAAGGAUGGACAACAUGGAUAUAGAGGAAGAUAACUCGGAGCCUGAAUCUUAGUAUUCUUUCAUAAUAUUUGUUGUAUUACUUUAAAAUCUCGGACAAAUUGUUACUUAGUUGUUGUUUGUUUUUAUGUUCUUGCUGCUGGACAAAUUUAUGUUUUGGUGUUUUAUGCUUUAUCUUGAUAGAAACAUCUUAACUAUGCACUACAUUAAUUUUCAUAUAAUGUGCUAUACAUCCUGUAUGCUAUAUAUGCUAUAUAUCUUUGUGCUGGACUCUUGGCUUUUCUACUUUUUGAUGAAGUCAAAAGGGGGAGAAAAGUUGGGAGAGUGUAUUUUCUGUCAAACUUUAUUCCAAAUGAAAGGGGGAGCAUAAAAUAUAGGUAAUCUCUUCUCCACAUUUCUUCUCUAUGAUGCCAGCAUCGUAAAUACUUGAGCUCCAUCCAUCAAGAGUUUCUUCAUUUGAUUGCCGGUGAUGCUUUUGGUUUCAUAAUAGGAUUCAAUGAGGUUCUUAGUGUGAAGAAGAUCUUUGCUCCUGACCUUGGCACGGUUUUGAUGAAGACACCAACAUCACCAAAAAGAAGAAAAGGAAGAAUACUUAUGAAGACAAAGAAGAUUAAAGCUUCAAGAAGAUUAGAAUAAGUCUCUAUAGGUACUUCUAUCAUAAAACUCUUACUUAUGCAAAGUAGCAAUGCUCAAAUUAUUUUUAAAGAAUAAUGAAACACUUUGAAAAUACUUAAAACAAUUUUUGAAAAGAUGUGUAACGGGUUACUUAAUUCAAGUAACAAGUUACAUGUGAGAGAAAAAGAGUUAUCCAACUUAAAACUGCUCAGAGUAAUCCAUUACUACAUUUGAGUAACAGAUUACCAGUUUUACAAAAGUUGAGUAACCGAUUACCCAAAUGGUGUAAUCGAUUAUUCAAAUUCGAAUUUAUAAAUUCAGUGGACAGAAUGUUUGGGUAAUUGAUUACCCAAUGUAAGUAAUCGAUUACUGAGGACUGUUGAAAGUGAUUUCAGAUUUCAAAACGAAAAGUUUUCCCUCCAAACAAAAUCACUUCACUCCAAACAACUCCUACACUUUCAGAAAGGCACCUUGGAUGUUUGGAAAGCCUAUAUAAAGACUCUAACCUCUCAAAACAUCAACACACAACUUUCCCAACACUCUCAUAAAUUCUCUCACUGUUUUUCUGCACUUUUGCACUAAGUUCUUAAUCUUUCAAAAGAGAAUUUAUUCUGAGUAAUUGCUUCAAAAUGUUUUCACAAUUAUAUUGAGCAUUAUUACUAAGCAUACAAAGAGAGUUGAUUGGAUUGAAAGUGAUAUAAUAUUUCAUACCUGUAAAGGCAAUCCAAAGCCAUUGUUGUAACUCUGCAUUCAUUGCAAACAAUCUUUCUUUCACAGGGUGUGAAUAGAAAGGAGAUAGAGUGACUUGGAAAAAGGUAUAAAUAUUAGUUAGUGUGUAAGGUACAGAGAGAUCUCAGGGUGAGAUAUUGUAAUUAUAACUCUUAAUAUUUAGUGGAAAGUCUCUUGUGCUGCAAGAGUACUGGACGUAGCCUUCAGUGGACAAGAAGGUGAACUAGUAUAAAAUACUUGUGUACUCUCCUUUCCCUUUCCUCUUUACUUUAUACUUGUUUAUUUUCUGCAAUAUUAUCCGCUGCACAUUAACUCUUACAUUUUGCAUAUAAAGUUACUAUAAUUUUAAGUCAACUAAUUCCCCCCCCCCCCCUCUUAGUUGCAAUCCUAUUCUUACACUAAGGGCUGAGCCGCACCAUGUAGAGGGGUGAGCCUAUUCGUCGGAAGUGUGUUGUGGGAGGAUUUGGCAGUCGGAUAAAUUUUGAACCUUUGUCCCUAUCGAUUUUGGUGGUUACCUUUUCUGUUCGCACCGGACAUAGCACAACCGGCGGCACCAUGUGUUUCUAUUUGCUUUCUUGCCAUUGGCGUUGCGGGGAGUGGUUCAUAUGGUACCGUCGAGUAUGUCUAACUAGAGGACGCGUGAGUGGCAAUUGGGAUAUUUGUGUUUUCUGGCUCCAUGAUCAUGGUCAUCGAACUUUCUGCACACAACCCUUCCUAUGUUCGCCUUGUGUCAUUUCGGCCUCGGCGUUCAAUUAUGGUUCUUUAGUUGCCUACCCGUUAAGUGGUAUUCAUGUGCCUCUUAUGACCCAUUCCAUCUAGACCCCUUCUAGAGGUUGUUGGAGGAUUCGAAAGUGAUGUAUGUGAUGUAUUAGCUGUGAAUUAUGAUGGCUUGCAUUCUCACAUGUGUCUAGUGUUCUGUUGGAUUCGGUGCCUGCAGCGAUCGCGGGUUGAUGAGACUACCCUACUGAGUCCCAUUGAUUAAUCGGUUUCCUUGAAUGACACUUUGUCGUGGUGUCAGUCUUGCUUAAUCGUUUACGGUGGCAACACUUGCACGUCAAGCAAAGUCAUUGAUGGAUGCUACCUGGUUGAUCCUGCCAGUAGUUGUAUGCUUGUCUCAAAGAUGAAGCCAUGCAUGUGUAAGUAUGAACUAAUUCAGACUAUGAAACUACGAAUGGCUCAUUAAAUCAGUUAUAGUUUGUUUGAUGGUAUCUACUACUCGGAUAAUCGUACUAAUUCUAGAGCUAAUAUGUGCAACAAACCCCGACAUCUAGAAGGGAUGCAUUUACUAGAUAAAAGGUGGGCGCAGGCUUUGCCUAUUGCUUUGAUGAUUCAUGAUAACUCGCUUAAUCGCACGCCCUUUCUACCGGCAACGCAUCAUUCAAAUUUAUGCCCUAUCAACUUUCGAUGGUAGGAUAGUGGCCUACCAUGGUGGUGAUGGGUGACGGAGAAUUCGGUUUUGAUUCCAUAUAGGGAGCCUAAGAAACGGCUACCACAUCCAAGGAAGAUAGCAGGUGCGCAAAUUACCCAAUCCUGACACGGGGAGGUAGUGACAAUAAAUAACAACACCGAGCUCAUUGAGUCUGGUAAUUAGAACGAGUACAAUCUAAAUCCCUUAACGAUGAUCCAUUAGAGGCAAGGUUGGUGCCAGCAACCGCGGUAAUUCCAGCUCCAAUAGCGUAUAUUUAAGUUGUUAUAGUUAAAAAUCUCGUAGUUGGACCUUGGGUUAGGUCGACCAGUCCGCCAUUGGUGUGCACCAGUCGGCUCAUCCCUUCUGUCGGUGAUGCGCUCCUGGCCUUAACUCGCGGGGUCGUGCCUCCGGCACUGUUACUUUGAAGAAAUUAGAGUGUUCAAAGCAAGCCUACGCUCUAGAUACAUUAGCAUGUGAUAACACCACAAGAUUCUGAUCCUAUUGUGUCGACCUUCGGGAUCGGAGUAAUGAUUAACAGGGACAAUCAGGGGCAUUCAUAUUUCAUAGUCAGAGGUGAAGUAUGGUCACAACGCUGAAACUUAAAGGGCACCACUACGAGUGGAGCCUGCGGCUUAAUUUGACUCAAUAUGGGGAAACUUACCAGGUCCAGACAUAGUAAGGAUUGACAAGCUUAGAGCUCCUUCUUGAUUCUAUUGGUGGUGGUGCAUUGCCGUUCUUAGUUGGUGGAGCGUUUUGUCUAGUUAAUUUCGUUAACGAACGAGAUCUCAGCCUGCUAACUAGCUAUGUGGAGGUAACUUUCCACGACCAGCUUCUUAGAGGGACUAUGGCCACAUACGCCACGAAAGUUUAAGGCAAUAACAAGUUUGUGAUGCCCUUAGAUGUCCUGGGCUGCACGUGCGCUACACUAAUGUAUUCAACGAGUCUAGCCUUGGCCGACAGGCCUAGGUAAUCUUUGAAAUUUCAUCGUGAUGGGGAUAAAUCAUUGCAAUUGUUAGUCUUCAACGAGGAAUUCCUAGAAAGCGCGAGUCAUCAGCUCGCGUUGACUAUGUUCCUGCCCUUUGUACACACCGCUCAUCACUCCUACCGAUUGAAUGGUCUGGUGAAGUGUUCGGAUUGCAACGACGUGGGCGGUUCAUUGUCGGCAACGUUGUGAGAAGUCCACUGAACCUUAUCAUUUAGAGGAAGCAAAAUAAAAUUAUCUGGAAAACUUUGAUUGUCGGGCUUUAGAGUAUGAAUCAUCUUAAAACUUGCCCUAGUUUGAGAGGCUUCCAGUUUUCUUUUGCUUUUAGUGCUCUUUACUUCAUGCAUAAUGUAACACCCCGAAAAUAAUUUCUAUUUAAUAUAUUUAAUCUCUUAGAAAAAUGUGUAAAAUUGUCUUUUAUGUAACCUAUAACUUACAAAUAAUUUUCACUUUUACCUUAUUCCAUUUACAAGAUUGUCAAAUUUUCAAACCUUGCGGAAAUAAAAUUCUUAAUACGUUGAAGAUAAUUAAAUGAAUACAAUUCUGUUCUGAAUACUUCUCAUUCAUAAAAUUCUUGAAUAAAUAUAGAAUUGUUUACAUGGCGAAAUCUAAUCUUCGCCACAAAUAAAAAAAACUGAAAAUACAAAGAAAAUAAUGUCGGGGCAUUGGCAUUACAAAAAGUACCUUUGACAGGUUCCUAUCACAACAAAACAAAAGAGAAACCUCCUAAACCGGACGCGCACUGGAAGCCUCGCUAGGGUCUUCCUCCACCUCCGAGUCAGAAGAGAUCUCAAUGACCUCAACUGAAUCUUCUAUGCAGAUAAGCUCUACACACUCGACGUUGUCUUCCUCCUCCUCUUCCUCCACUUCAUCCGCUCCCCAAUCCAUCGAGGGGUCCGGGGUCUACCCCCUUGGCAUAGCCCAGUCUGUCCCUCUUGGCGCCGAUCCUAAUGUUGAGAAUCCUGUUUGGGGCCAGGUCCGAACAACUUCUCGUACGCCUAGAGCAUCAGCCAGUACAGAAAGUCCGACGGUUGUAGGUCUUCGGUCGGGCAAAGUGAAUGAUGCCUCCUAAACUGCGUAGUAAGGUGGAAGAUGCAGAACUAAGCCAUUGUUUACCCAAUCCAUCUCUAGGGUGCAAGGACCUGUGUAAGUGUGUCGAUUACCCUCAACACUCCAUGUCCCCUCUUGGGACAUAGUGAAAUGUUAACCUCAGAUCAGUGCUGAUGGGUCCAUCUGAAUAUGUGUACACAUACACCAGAAGAAAAGAGAGGGAGUAAAACAUCUAUGAAAAACUUGUCAUCGAUGUCGUCGAAUUAUACGGAAUAAUACACCAAGAGAACACACGAGUACAUAUAUAUCAUAUGCUCAUACAAGCAUAUAAUAAUGAGGAAUGAAGUAUAAAACUCGAGAAUUUAGAAUCAAUAUCGACGGAUAUCAUGUGUGCAAUGUGAUAUAUGAGUCCACCAUCCUUACUCCUUUAUCCUCCCAAUAACUAUUCGGAAAUAACCGAGAGUACAAUUCCCAUAACAAGCUGAUUUGAUCGCACCAAAAUUAUUCCUCGCAAGGAUAUAUGAUCGAUCUGUUCCAACGGAACUGUCCAUUUCAGGAUGGUGUUGUAUCAAACACUUUAUGGUCAUCCCUCUCAUUGAUCUUGAUUGCAAAGAGUGGUUGUCAAAGAUCGUCUAGUUUGCGUUGUGAGCACUGUCUGAUCCAACAUAAUACCUCACCCUGGAAACAGCUCAGCCGGAGGUUGAGUCCAACGGCUGGAAGAGACCCACACGUCGCGUGAUGUCUGGUGCACCCUGACGGCCGUUGAAAAUCCGGAGAACCGAGUGCCUCCCACACCCGCUCAUACUCAUAACUGCAUCAGGUCUCCAAGGUGAACAACCUCUUAUCGAUGGUACAAUGUAGGCAAAGGAAGUCGGAAAAAUGGAUCCGUAACCUCGGGAAAAGGAUUGGCUCUAGCAGCUUGGCACGAGGGUCCCAGUCGCCAACUCGUCGGCUGUCGGUGGACUGCUUGAGCUGCUCUCGCGGCGGGAGUGGGUCGUCGCGUGUCGGUCGGAGGACGAAUUGGAACGAUCCCUUCGAAUGUUGACGCCAAGCAUUGCAGUGGUCCCUAUGGAUGUUGACGCAUUGUCAUUUCUGCCUAGUGCUCUGAAUCUCAAAGUGAAGAAAUUCAACCAACAAAGGGUAAACAGUGGGAGUAACUAUGACUAUGACUUUCUUAAGGUAGCCAAAUGCCUCAUGAUCUAAUUAGUGAUGCACAUGAAUGGAUUAACGAGAUUCCCAUUGUGCCUGUCUACUAUCCAGCUACACCACAACCAAGGGAACGGGCUUGGUAGAAUCAGCGGGGAAAGAAGACCCUGUUGAGCUUGACUCUAGUCCGACAUUGUGAAAUGACUUGAGAGGUGUAGGAUAAGUGGGAGCUGGAAAUAGCGGAAGUGAAAUACCACUACUUUUAACGUUCAUAACGACGUUGCUUUUUUAUCCUUCGAUGUCGCCUCUUCCUAUCAUUGUGAAGCAUAAUUAACCAAGUGUUGGAUUGUUCACCCACAUACAAAGAAUGUGAGUUGGGUUUAGACCGUCAUGAGACAUGUUAGUUUUACCCUACUUAUGACAGUGUCACAAUAGUAAUUCAACCUAGUACGAGAGGAACUGUUGAUUCGCACAAUUGGUCAUCGCGCUUGGUUGAAAAGCCAGUGGAGCAAAGCUACCAUGCAUUGCAUUAUGAGUAAACGCCUCUAAGUCAGAAUUCGGGCUAGAAGCGAUAAGUGUGCCUGUCGCCCAUUUUCCAACUAGCGGUAGGGGGCCUCGGCCCCCUAGAGGCACGUGCCAUUGGUGACCCCCGCGGCCUCGUGGUACGCCUUGAAGCGUUAUUCCCCAUUGGGCGAUGGGUGGAAUCCUUUGCGGACGACUUAAAUACCUGACGAGGUAUUGUAGGUGGCAGAGUGGCCUUGCUUCCACGAUCCACUAAGAUUCAACCCUUGUCGUUUCGAUUCGUCUCUCCCAUCUCAAACCUUAUUUGGAGUUAGGUCGUACACCCUACAAGGCUUACGAACCCGCACCUCGUAUGGGCGACGAGGCGAGUAGGUUCAAAGUCCACGUUCCUCAAGCACACGGUAGAGACGAAGAUACUUACAAUGUGGAGUGCGGCAUCGCCUCUAGCCAUGCCCCAUGGUUCCUUGUGUGUUGUUCAUGGUGUCCGGUGGUUGGGGUGCUUUGUGCCUGGUAUGGUUCCUCAUGUGUGAUCCUGAGUGCAAGGUGAAAGAGAGGCCAUGACACAUGUGUCUAAGUGUUAUUAGGUGAAAUUGAGGCCAUUACACACUUUCCGAGUGCUAGGUGAAAGUGACCCAUUCCGUGGCAUAUGUUCCGAGUUGUAGGUGAAAGUGACCCAUUCUGUGGUACAUCUUCAGAGUGCUAAGUGAAAGUGACCCAUGCCAUGGCACAUGGUCCGAGUGCUUGGUGAAAGUGACCCGUGCCUCGUGUGAGAUUCUUGCUUAUCUCACAUUCCCUAUUUCAGUGAAAGCAUCGCACGAAGCUAGCCCCUUCAUGAAAUGCCUCCAUAUUUGGAGAGGAGCCUAUGAUUAUUUAGCCAUGGUUGCCACUAAAGUUUCACGUAAGAAUUCAACCCCCAGGCGAUGUUGCCCGUCAUGGCACCAUCGCGUGUCCUACACUUCGGUGGAAAAUCAUUUGAGGUAAAUGCCUCGAUGUUACAUGGGCGUAACUUUGGGAAAUGUUUAGGAAUAAUGCUCCUAGCAUUCCUACAAAAGAACAGCUCAAAAAACAUGGUACACACUCGUUAUCUAAUUUUCGAGGAAUUAUGUAAAGCUCGUCACUUGGAAAAAUUAUCAAAAUUUAUUGCCUUGGAGUAAAAUCAUGUAACUUCGUUGACCACUAGCUCCUAUUCUUAUAAGCACAUGUGCAAAAACUCAUGGAAAAAUUCGACCUCUAGCCUAAAAAACCCAGUAUGUCUUCCAAAAAAAAGGUUUUCCAGUGGUGCAGAGUGGGCUUCUGCAUAUUAGCCUACUAUAUGGGGGCAAGCUGCCUUCCUACCCACACACCUUGGUGGGCCAGGAUGGCGAGCUAUAGGGCUCCCUCGAACGCCCCAACAAGCUAUCCCAGGCAUGCUGGUGCAUUUUUCCAUGGGGAUGUGGGCAAUUCGACCGAGUCAUCUUCUAUGCCGAAUCCCGGUCGCACGCGGCCAGCUGCAGGCUGGUGCUUUGGCUUGGUGUUGUCCGACACCUAGAACUUAUUGAGGAUGCAUCAAGGGCUUAGACUGUUCCUCGCGGAUCAACUUGGAUUUCUUGAUGCGAAAGUGUCUUUUGUCGAGGUGCCGGCAUCAUCACACAAUGCCGAGUUGGGUAGCUGCGGGCAUUGCUCGGACGUGCCGAGGCUUCUAGUGUUGCACGUUCUUUACAACAGGAUGUGGUGUUAGGUGAUGCCUUUAGUGGCACAGCCGGAGCACGAAGGGGCACAAGUCCAGUCAUCCGAAAUUGUGUUGUGGGCAGGUUGGCAUGGUUUUAGUCCAGGUGCAGUCGUUUAUGUCUCAUGCAACAAAGUGUCUUGUGUAGGCCUGUCCCUCAGAGAAGUGUGUAGUGUUGAGGUGCUGGUUUGGUCACAUGGUGCUGGUUCGAUAGUUGCGGGCUUCCGUCCGACUUGCCGAGGCUUCUAGUGUGUCAAGUUGUGCACGAAAGGAUGUGGUGUUGGGUGAAGCCCUUAGGGGCAGAUCACCCCAAAGUGUGUUGUCGGCGGGUUUGCACGGUUGAGGUCAAGGUGCGGUUGUGUAUGAAUCGAGCAAAGAAUGCGGCUUGUGUAGGCUCGUCCCUCGGGAAAGCGUGGUUUGUUGACGUGUUGGUUUGGUCGCACAAUGCCAAGUGGGUUAGUUGCAUCCGCCAUGCAGACAUUUUGACGCCUCUAGUGUGACUCGUUCUACACAGAAGGAUGUUGUGUUGGGUGAAGCCUUAAGGGGCACAACUGCAGCACGAAGGAGCACAAGUCUAAUCGUCCGGAAGUGCGUUGUGGUCGAGUUUGCAUGUUUUGAAGUCUCUAUGGGGUCGUGUCUGACCCAAGCUAAACUAUGCGGUGUCUAGGCUCGUGCCUCGUUAAACUGUGGUCUGGUGAUGAUCUAGAUCGGUGACACGGUGGCGAUGUAUGUACAUGUGGGCAUUUUCUGGAUGUGCCCAGGCUUCUCGUGUGACCUGUUGUGCACCGAAUUAUUAGGUGAUGCCUUCACAGAAGUACAUGAGAGGCCCACCACUGAGAAGCAGCAGGGGGCUUUUGCCCCAUAAUGUCUCGCUCGGUUUGUGAUCUGCUCUAGUUGGGAGAUUUAUGCAGGAUGCCUUGAAGCACCAUUCUCUACUUGGUGCUCUAAGAGUCUUUUGAGUGACUUAAAUAGUAGGGCACUUCGGAAUAGGCUGACUAGACUUGCUGUUAUGAUGCACUUUGAUUUUUCUCCUGUCGCCUUGUUUUGUGCCACCAGCCUCCAACUUUUUAAGUUCUAGUUCGUACACCCAAUGAGGCUUGUGGAGUAGCAACUCGUGUGUGUGGUUAGUCGAAUUGGUGCAACGAAAAUCCACGAGGGCGCAUAGUCCCUUAUUCGAGUGAUAGGUGAAAUAGACCCAUGCCAUACACACUUUCCAAGUGGUAGGUGAAGGUGAUGGCACAUGUUCCAAGUGGUUGAUGAAAGUGACUCGUGCCUCGCAUGAGAUUAUUGCUUCUGUCGCAUUCCCUAUUUCGGUGAAUGCAUCAUAAGACGCCGACCCCUUCAUGAAAUGCCUCCAUAUUUGGAGGGGAACCCAAUUUUUUUUUUCCAUGGUUGCCUGCAAAGUCUCAAGUCCGAAUUCAACUCCUAUGCGAAGUUGCUCGUCAUAGCACCAUGGCGUGUGCCACACUUUGGUGGAAAAUCAUUUGAGGUAAAGGCCUCGAUGUUACAUGGGCGUAACUUUGGGAAAUGUUUAGGAAAAAUAUUCCAAGCCUUCCUGCAAAAGAACAGCUCAAAAAACAUGGUACACACUCAUUUUCUAAUUUUCGGGACUAAUCUAAUGCUCGCCGUUUAAAAAAUUACGAAAAAUUAUCGGAUUGGCGAAAAAUUGUGAAACUUCAGGGAAAAAUUCGACCUCUAGCCUCAAAAAACCCGAGAUGUGAUGUGAAUCUAUUUGAGAGGAUUCAGAAUUUUGUUUUGAUCGUUCUUGAAUGUAAGUCUUUGAGAAGAAUAUGGGAUUUUUGCACCUUGAAACUUGUUAUAUUUUUUAUUGGUUUUUGUUUUGGAUUUUUGUUUGGCCGUGGGAUAUGAUUAUGUGGUUUGGUUUUUGGGUUGUUUUUGGUGAGUGUUUGGACGUGGGUUUUGGGAUGAAGGUUGAGUGAGUUUGUGGAUUGUUAAGGGAAUUGUGUAUGGGUAUUUGUUGUUGGUUGUAUGUGAGGGGAUUAUUUUGGUCGUGUAUGGUUUAUGGUUAAGUUGAUAGAAGAAGAUGGAUUAGAUAGGAAGAUGAAGGCGCCACAAGCUUGAUUGCUUGAUAAGCCUAAUGUAUUUCGCCACAAGGAAGAGAACCUUGAUAAGAAAGGGCCUUGGUUUAACCAAGAAACUAGGAGAAACUCAACUAGCAAUUGAUUAUUUUCCAAAUAAAAUUCAAGUUAAUUUAUUCAAUAUCAAAGCCAAGUACAAAUAUCCAUGGAAUUUUCGGCCAAGCUAUGUGCAUAAAGAGUAGUAAAGUACAUUGAAUAUUCCCCUAACUCUUUUCCCCCAUGUGUUUUCGGUUUGGGGGGGAAUUGCAAGGUGUAUUGAUGGCUUCCCUUAAUCUAAUUCCCAUGUGCUCUUUUUGGUUGAGGUGGAAAUUUGAAUUUGAAAAUGAUUCUCCAUGGAGUAAAUGUCCAAAUUCGGUUGAGGAGUGAAUAAGGAAACAAUCAUUUUGUCUUCAUGGCUUUCCUUUAUGGUGUGUCUCGUGUAAAGGAGAAUAUCUCCUUGAUGAUUAUUCCCACUCCUAGUAAUUUGAAUAAGGAAGGUAUUGAUGGAUUCUAAUUUGAGUUCAAUGCUUUGGAGUGAAUAAGGAAACAAUCAAUUUGCCUUCUUUGGUUUCCUUGAUUUACCUCGUGUGAAUAGAGGGAUUCUCUAUGAUGAUCACACCCAACACAUGCUUGAUUUGAAUAAGGAAGGUCUUGAUGAGCUCUCAUUCUGAUUUGAAUCUUUAAGGAAAGUUUUGCCUUGCUCCUUGAUUCUCAUUCACACGCCUCCUUGAUUAGGAAAUAGAUGGAAUUUGUUUGAUUGCUCUUGAUUGUUUCCAUAUAGGGAUCUUCCACACUUGCUCUUCAAAUUAGGAUAGGAUUCUUUGAGAUCUUAUGGCCUUUAAGGGUGAUCUCACGGCUUGGCUCACUAAGGAAAGUGUUCCCUUGCUUGUACCUGGAUUACAUGGUUCUUAAUGAAAUUUAUUACAACUAUAAGUUCAAGUAUAAUGCAAAUAGUAAUUGUUCUUCCAAAUAAGGUAGGAAAAUAAUUCCUAGACUAUAUGUGGGUAUGAUAAUCCCCACUUAUUAAAUGGGACUCCCACAUGCCUCAAGUGUUCCCUCCUUGGCCGUGGCCAACUUGGGUUACUUCUACAAAAAUGGUGCAAUGUAUGGGCCUGAUUUCCUUGUUGGGCUUUGUUGACUUGAUCAUUUGUUCCACUAAUAGGUUGAGAGUUUGGUGUGCCUUCUUGGUUUUGGACCGGGUCAUGGGCCCUCCUAGCCCACUUAGCUCUUCCUCAUUGAUGGGCCUUGGUGGAUUCAUAUCAGGAUGUCUUCCCAGAGAAAAGGAUAUCCCACUCGAAAUUCUUGAUGCGUGCGUCUCACUUGUCAAAGUUCUGGUUUGGUGACUCAGUGACGGGUUGGGUAGUUGCUGGUGGCGGGCAUGCUGAGGCUUCUAAUGUGACCCUUUUUGCACGGAAGGAUGUGUUGUUAGGUGAAGCCUUCAGGGGCAUAGACGUAGCACGAAGGGGCGCAAUUCCAAUCAUCCGGAAGUGUGUUGCGGGCUGGUUUGCACGGUUGAAGUCAAGGUGCAGUCGUCUAUGAUGCUAGCAACAAUGUGCCUGAGGUAGGCUUGUCUCUCAGAAUGUGUUGGUUGUUGAGGUGUUGGAUUGGGCCCACGAUGCGGAGUUGGUAGUUACGGCAUCCCAUAGACGUUUUGAGGCUUCUAGUGCGACCAUUCCUGCACGGAAGGAUGUGGUGCUGGAUGAAGCUCUUAGGGGCACAACUGCAGCACCAAGGGGCGCAUGCCCAAUCAUCUGAAAGUAGUGUGUUUGCGGCUGGUUUUCAUGGUUGAAGUCAAGGUGCGGUGCUGUAAGACGCAUGCAACAAUGUUGCGCGUAGUAGGCUUGUCCCACGGAAAUAUGUGCGCACCUCAAGAAAUAUGUUUACACCUAGGCGUAUAUGUUAGGUGAUGCCAUAAGGGCUGAGCCGCACCAUGUAGAAGGGUGAGCAUGUUCGUCGAAAGUGCAUUGUGGGUGAAUUUGGCAAUCGGAUAAAUUUUGAACCCUGAUCUCUAUCGAUUUUGGUGGUUACCUUUUGUGUUUGCACCUAACGUAGCGGAUCCGACGGCACUAGGUGUUUCCAUUUGCUUGCUUGCCAUUGGCAUUGUGAGGAAUGGUUCGUAUGGUACUAUCGAGUCUGUCUAACGGGAGGGCGGGUGAGUGGCAAUUGGUAUGUUUGUGUUGUCUGCUCCAUGAUAAUAGUCAUCUAACUUUCAGCACACAACCCUUCCCAUGUCCGCCUUGUGUCAUUUCAGCCACAUCGUUCAAUUAUGGUUCUUGUGUUGCCUACCUGUUAAGUGGUAUUCAUGCACCUCUUAUGACCCGUUCCAUCCAGACCCCUUCUAGAGGUCAUUGGAGGAUUUGAAAGUGAUGUGUGUGAUGUUUUAGUUGUGAAUUAUGAUGGCUUGCGUUCUCACACGUGUCUAGUGUUCCCAUGGAUUCGGUGUAUGCGGCGAACGCAGGCUGAUGAGUCUGCCCCUUUGGGUCCCUUUGAUAUAUCGGUUCCCUUGAAUAACACUUUGUCAUGGUGUCGGUCUUGCUUAACAGUUCGCGGUGGCAUAACUUGCACGUCGAGCAAAGUCGUUGAUGGAUACUACAUGGUUGAUCCUGCUAGUAGUCAUAUGCUUGUCUCGAAGAUUAAGCCAUGCAUGUGUAAGUAUGAACUAAUUCAGACUCUGAAACUGCGAAUGGCUCAUUCAAUCAGUUAUAAUUUGUUAGAUGGUAUCUACUACUCGGAUAACCAUAAUAAUUCUAGAGCUAAUACGUGCAACAAACCCCAACUUCUGGAAGGGAUGCAUUUAUUAGAUAAAAGGUCGACACAGGCUCUGCUUGUUGCUUUAAUGAUUCAUGAUAACUCGUCGGAUUGAACGACCUUUAUGCCGAUGAAGCAUCAUUCAAAUUUUUGCCUUAUCAAAUUUCGAUGGUAGGAUAGUGGCCUACCAUGGUGGUGACGGGUGACGGAGAAUUAGGGUCCGGUUCCAUAUAGGGAGCCUAAGAAACGGUUACCACAUCCAAGGAAGGCAGCAAGCACGCAAAUUACCCAAUCCUCACACGGGGAGGUAGUGACAAUAAAUAACAAUAUCGGGCUCAUUGAGUCCGGUAAUUGAAAUGAUUACAAUCUAAAUACCUUAACGAGGAUCCAUUGGAGGGCUAGUCUGGUGCUAGCAGCCGCGGUAAUUCCAGCUCCAAUAGCGUAUAUUUAAGUUGUUAUAGUUAGAAAGCUGGUAGUUGGACCUUUGGUUGGGUCGAUCGGUCCACCAUUGGUGUGCACUAGUCGGCUCAUCCAUUCUACCAGCAAUACGCUCCUGGCCUUAACUGGUCGGGUCGUGUCUCCAACGUUGUUACUUUGAAGAAAUUAGAGUGCUCAAAGCAAGCCUAUGCUCAGGAUACAUUAGCAUGGGAUAACACCACAAGAUUCUGAUCCUAUUGUGUUGGCCUUCGGAUCAGAGUAAUGAUUAACAAGGACAGUCAUUGGGAUUCGUAUUUCAUAUUCAGAGGUGAAAUUCUUGGAUUUAUGAAAGACGAAAAACUACGAAAGCAUUUGCCAAGGAUGUUUUCAUUAAUCAAGAACGAAAGUUGGGGGCUCGAAGACAAUCAGAUACCAUCCUAGUUUCAACCAUAAACGAUGUCGGCCAGGGAUCAGCAGAUGUUGCUUUUAGGACUCCGCUGGCACCUUAUGAGAAAUCAAAGUCUUUGGGUUCCGGGGGGAGUAUGGUCGCAAGGCUGAAAUUUAAAGGAAUUGACGGAAGGGCACCACCAGGAGUGGAGCAUGCGGCUUAAUUUGACUCAACACCGGGAAACUUACAAGGUCCAGACAUAGUAAGGAUUAACAAACUGUGAGCUCUUUCUUGAUUCUAUGGGUGGUGGUGCAUGGCCGUUCUUAGUUGGUGGAGUGAUUUGUCUGGUUAAUUUUGUUAAAGAAUGAGACCUUAGCCUGCUAACAAGCUAUAUGGAGGUAACCCUCCAUUGCCAGAUUCAUAGAGCGACUAUGGCCACUUAGGCCACAGAAGUUUGAGACAAUAACAGGUCUAUGAUGCCCUUAGAUCUUAUGGGCCACACUCACACUACGCUGACGUAUUCAACGAGUCUAUAGCCUUGGCCGAUAGGCCCAGGUAAUCUUUGAAAUUCCAUCGUGAUGGGGAUAGAUCAUUGCAAUUGUUGGUCUUCAACGAGAAAUUC
rnacentral:lncRNA from 1 species